rnacentral:lncRNA from 1 species
ACUGUAUAUGCUUCAGGCCCCAGAGACCUUGGAUCCUGUCCCUGGGUGUGAUAGACAAGGUGGGUCAAGGAUGACUCUAAGUUUGGGGGCUUGAGUAACUGGUAAAUAUAUCGAAGUUGUUCUGUAUUGAAGUUUUCCUUUGUUAUUUCUUUAGGACUUAAUCACCUUUAGGACUUCCUCAGUGAUUCCUCCACGUGGACCCCUAGGAGCUGAAGCGUUUGCAUUAUAGAAUGGGGACUUCGCAAAGGUAUUUCAGUUGUCUCUGUUCAAGGAAAUUGCUUGACCAAAUGUUCUCUAACUACUGGCGUACUUUGAAUUUAAUACACAUCAGGGUGUUCCGUGCGCGUCCAGUGGAACCGGAUUUCUACCAAAAUGAUUUCAGCUGCCUUUUCUGGAAUGUUUUCAGCACCACCCCCUACCACUCGCACUGAAAGCUCUUUGCAGAACUUGAGGUUUGAAUCUGGGCGCUGGAUAGUUCAAGUUUGACAAUAAUUGCGUUAAGAGGGUUGGAGGCAAACGGAAAAUUUUAAUUACAGCCUUCAGUACGUUUAUUCUUUUUCCUCUGAAGACUGAGGUCCACCCACUUUGUUAUAUCCAAUGGUUAAAUCCCAAUUUGAAAGUCCAUUUAAAUCAUAAAAGCAGAGCUAUUCAACGUCUUUUAUUAAAAUUAGGCUUAAAAUUAGAGAGUCAACUAGAUGGGUAGGUGGAAUAAGCAUGAUUCCCAGAAAUGUCAUUUUCUUUUUCCUCUGAUGGCUUUUCAGAAGAAACAUUAGGCAUAUUCCAGAAGCACUGAUACUCAGACUGCGAAACCCACACAAAUAUAAACACAUUUAUGCACGCACAAGCACUAGCAUACUCUGCUUGAAAGGUGCCUUGGAGAAAGAAAUGAGGAUAAAUGAAUUGGAAUGUGGAGGCUAGUUUGACAUGAACAUUGUGACCAUCCCUCACAACGCCUGAAUGGAUGGAUGUGAAGACAAUUGGCGAGGGCUUGCUUCCCCCAUUGAUUACAAGGUUUAUUUCGCCAAAUCUGGCUGACUUGAUUGCUUCUCUGAAAAAAGCUAUGGAUUCUUUUAAAGAGCAUCUCUCUCUCUCUCUCUCUCUCUCUCUUUCUUUCUUUUUUUUUUUUUUUUUUNNNNNNNNNNNNNNNNNNNNNNNNNAAAAAAAAAAAAAAAAAAAAAAAAAAAAAAAAGAAAGGCGGAAAAAUGUAAUUGGCUCUAAUAUCACUUUGAGGUCUUCUGAGGGCAAAUGCUCUAGCUUUAGGACAGGGUGGUUCUGUGUAAGUCAGGCGCAGGGUGAGGCAUUGUCAUUUGGGACCCGUGAGCUAAACUGGACAAAGGAACUCACCCCUGCAGCCCUAGAAGCACUUUUUUUUUUUUCAUAGACCCUAGAAACUCACAUUGCUAUCUACUCUCUGCCGCCCAAAUGAUUUAUCUGGUGAGCAUCUUUGGGUCUGUUCUUGGGUCUGCCGCGGGCCGUGGUAGGUCCACUUUCUCUGAUGACUGGGAGAUGAUGGUCACUUCUCCAAUGCUAGUCAUACCCUCACCCCCAUUGCCGUGAGAUGGGUGCUCGGUAAGCGCUUUCACCCUCUUCGCAAACACAGCAAAAAGCUUUUAGUUUUGCUUCUGGAAUGCUCUUUGCUGCAGACAUCUAAAUGUGCUUCAAGUUCACCUCUGAAAGAAGUUGAUGACAUGAGCAACUCGAAGUCAUUAUUAGCUUGAUGACAGUUGGAUCAAUAUUCAAUGCGAGAAGCGAGGAACACCACUUGAAUUUUCAAAACUGUAUUCACGUAACGUAUCUUAAAAAGUUCCUCUAUGUGUUGAAAAUCUAUCUUCAGGGGCGCCUGGGUGGCUCGGUCGGUUAAGCGUCCGACUUCGGCUCAGGUCGUGAUCUCGCGGUCCGUGAGUUCGAGCCCCACGUCGGGCUCUGUGCUGACAGCUCAGAGCCUGGAGCCUGUUUCAGAUUCUGUGUCUCCCUCUCUCUCUGCCCCUCCCCUGUUCAUGCUCUGCCUCUCUCUGUCUCAAAAAUAAAUAAACGUUAAAAAAAAAAAAAAAAGAAAAUCUAUCUUCAUUAAACUCUGUAGAACAAGAGGUGAUAAAAACUAAGAAGCAAUGUGGAAAAAUUAUAAUGUAAGCUUAAGGUACAAUAAUUAAACUGUAUAUGCCGUAAUAUACUUAUAACUAUAUAAAAUUAUAUUUUGCAUGGAAAAUGUAGAGGAACAUUCAAAAUGGAAAUUUGUAACCUUCUUCAAAAGAAAACUACUUGGUUGCUGAGAUUCCUGGACCAUGUAGGAAAGCAGAAAGUUAAAUGCCUAAAUUUGACCUUUAUUUAGGAUAAGAGUGAAGUUUCAUUCUGAAGCCCCUUGGUAACUGUGACAUUGUGACUAUGUUGUUUAGAUGACUGUCAUAGCAGAUUUUUCUUCCUGUUACUUCAUGGUCAGUUAAGAAACAAACAUUUGAUCCAGAAAUUUUAUUUAAUACCAGACAGAUUCUCCAUGGUCACUAGCUGUAGUGUAACAAUAAUAAUUACUAUUCAUGGCCUGUGCCUGGCACUAAGCUAAAUCAGCUUGUCUGAUUUAUAUAUAUAUAUAUAUAUAUAUAUAUAUAUAUGUAUAUAUAUGUAUAUACAUAUACGUAUAUAUGUAUAUAUAUACGUAUAUGUAUGUAUGUAUAUACAUAUAUGUGUAUAUAUAUAUAUAUAUAUAUAUAUAUAUGAUUUUGUAGGCCAUGUGGUCUCUCUUGCAACCACUCAAGUCUGUGAUUGUAGGAGGAAAAUAGCAACAGACAAUAUGCAAACAAAUGAGUGUGGCUGUAUUCCAAUGAAACUUUAUUUGUAGACAUGAAAUUUGAAUUUCAUGUAAUUUUCAUAUAUCAUGAAGUAUUCUUUUUGAUUUUUUUUUCAAUCAUUUAAAAAUGUAGAAAACAUUAUUUUAAAAUUUUAUUUUUGAGCAAUCUCUACACCCAACAUGGGGCUCCAACUUACAAACUCGAGAUCAAGAGUUGCGUGCUCUGCUGACUAAGCCAGCCAGGCACCCCUAAACAUGCAGAAAACAUUCUCAACUUGAAGCCCGUACAAAAACAGGUCAUGUGUCGGACUUGGCCUACAAUUCCUGGUCUAAACCAUGACUGUCACUUUUUGAAGUGAGUGGAAAGGCUAGGGGGGCCUCCAGGAGAGGGGUCAUGGUAACAAGGGAGACAUCAGUGUAGGACCUUCGCAGCAGAAGUUUGCUGUGUAAGAGUUUGAGAGAAGCUCCUGGAAGAGAAGUUGUUGAAAGAGAGGGACUCCAAAUAGUUAGAGGAUGGGGCACUUCUAAAAAUAGUAUCUGUUUGAGGGAAUUGUCUCCUGGCCUAACCCCUCUGAACUCUAUUCUGAAUAAUAGAAGCUAUAAAUAAAAAACAUAUCUCAACCUCUGGAAGACAGUGGCACACCAGCAACUGUUUUGGCACCCACCAAACAAGUAGACUUCUUUUUUUUAAAUGUUUAUUUUUGAGAGAGCGAGAGCACGCACGUGCACAAGCAAGGGAGGGGCAGAAAGAGACGGAGACACAGAACCUGAAGCAGGCUCCAAGCCGGCAGCACAGAGCCUGACACGGGGCUUGAACUCAUGAACCGUGAGAUCACGACCUACGCCAAAGUCGCACCCUUAAUUGACUGAGUCACCCAGGCGCCCCUGAACAAGUAGGCUUGUAAAGAUGGAGGGGGGAGGCAUAUUUAUGGCAGCAUUAUUUACAACAGUCAACAUAUGGAAACGACUGAGUGUCCAUCCGCAGAUGAAUGGAUAAAGAAGAUGUGGGAUGUACAUACAAUAGAACAUUAUUCAGCCGUGAGAAAGACAGACAUUUGCUAUAGCAUGGGUGGACCUUGAGGGCUUUAUGCUAAGUGACAUAAAUACUGUGUGAUCUCAGCUAUAUGUGGAAUCUAAAAAAAAGCCAAACUCCUAGAGAGGAUAAUGGCGGUUGCCAGGAUCUGGGGGGUGUGGGAAGUAAGGAGAUGUUGGUCAAAGAGUACAAAUGUCCAGUUCUAACACGAAUAAGUUCCGAGAAUCUAAUACACAGUAUGGUGAUUAUAGCUAACGAUAGUGUAUUAGAUACUUGAAAGUUGCGAAGGGAGUGGAUCUUAAAUGUUCUUACCUGAACUAUAUAGGAAAGUAAUCUGAUAAUCAUGUGAUGUGAUCAAGGUGGUAGCUAUGGUUGUGGGGGUGAUUAUUUUGUAGUAUAUAUGUGUAUCAAAUCAAGAUGUUGUGCACAAACUUACGCGAUGUUACACGUUAAUUAUAUCUCAGUAAAAGUGAGGAAGGAAAGAGUGGAGGGAGGCAUUCUCAUGGGUAUCCGAGUGGAAAUGGUAGUGGGAGUUCUGAGAUCAUGGUGCCCAAAAGGAGAUAUGACAACUGCUGUGAAAAAAGUUUGCAUGGCCAGGUAGAUACCAAUGACACCACCUGGCAAAGGUCAGAGCUGAAGUGAAAGGAAUAUGGGCAGAUUAGUGUGAAUUCUGAGAUACAGACUCCAGACUUCUCCAGAAAUACUUGGAGGGGGACUUGGCAGGGAAAUGAAGGUGUUGAAACUGUAGAACCAGCGACAGAUUGGAAUUGUUUUAGUUGUGCUGAAAUAUGGUGACAUAUAAAAUUGCAUACACGUAAGGCGUACAGUGUGAUGGGUUUGAUACACCAAUAUAUUCAGAGGUAAUGACCACAGUAAGGUCCACCUCCGUUAUUUCACAUGAUUAAGAUUUUCGUGUGUGUGGUAAAAACAGUUAAGAUUUAUGAACCUUCCGGGGGCGCCUGGGUGGCUCAGUCGGUUAAGCGGCUGACUUCGGCUCAGGUCAUGAUCUCACAGUCCGUGAGUUCAAGACGCGUGUCGGGCUCUGUGCUGACAGCUCGGAGCCUGGAACCUGCUUCGGAUUCUGUGUCUCCCUCUCUCUCUGCCCCUUCCCUGCUCAUGCUCUGUGUCUCUUAAUCUCAAAAAUGAAUAACUGUUAAAAAAGAUUUACAAACCUUCGGGGCACCUGCGUGGCUCAGUCGGUUAAACGUCGGACUUCGGUUCAGGUCACGAUCUCUUGGUUUGAGCCCCGUGUGAGGCUCUAUGCUGACAGCUCAGCGCCUGGAAGCUGCUUUGGAUUCUAGUCUCCCACUCUGUCUGUCUCUUUCGAAAAAAAAAAAAAAUUAAAAUUAAAAAAAAAGAUUUAUAAACUUUCAAGAACAUAAUACAGCAUCAUUAAUCACCGUGCUGUGCUUAUAGGUUCCUAGAACCUAUCCACCUUAUAACUGUAAGUUUGCACCCUUUGAACAACAUCUCAUUUUCCCCUCCCUCCUAGACCCUAGUGACCACCAAUCUACUCUAUUUCUGUAGAAAUAUAGUUUGACUUUUUAUUUUUAUUUAUUUUUAUUUAAAAAAAAAUUUUUUUUUCAACGUUUUUAUUUAUUUUUGGGACAGAGAGAGACAGAGCAUGAACAGGGGAGGGGCAGAGAGAGAGGGAGACACAGAAUCGGAAGCAGGCUCCAGGCUCCGGGCCAUCAGCCCAGAGCCCGACGCGGGGCUCGAACUCACGGACCGCGAGAUCGUGACCUGGCUGAAGUCGGACGCUUAACCGACUGCGCCACCCAGGCGCCCCUAUAGUUUGACUUUUUAAAAAUACCACAUAUAAGUGAAAUCAUAUAGUGUUUGUCUUUCCUGAUUCAUUUCACUUAGCAUAAUGCUAGGUGAAUGCCCUCAAGUUUCAUCCACGUUCUUGCAAAUGGCAGAAUGUCCUUCUAUUUCCAUGGCUGAAUGAUAUUCCACUGUACAUAAAUACACUCCAUUUUCUUUUUCCAUCUAUUCAUUGACAGGCUUCUUCCAUGUCUUGACUAUUGUGAAUAAUACUGCAGUGAACAUGGGAGUACAGAUAUCUCUUCAAUAUCCUGUUCUCCUAUCCUUCGGAUAUAUAGAUAAGCAACAUUCUGAAAUGCUUUCGUGUUCCUCAGCUCGUUAAAAUUGAGACAGCUAUUUGCUGCCUUUAAUGGUCCUUGGACUCAGAAUUCAUGUGUUUGAAUGUCAGUCUUUUUAGUCUUCGGAGAACCUACAAGUUAGCAUAGAGUUGUUAUCGCCACAAUAAAAGUGACUCAAAGUUUUAAGGAUGGUUCAUUGGAUAGCAAGAUUUUAAAUUUGGAUAUUUGAAAGCUAUCCUUUGACUCAAGCAAAUGUGUGAUUGCACAGCCCAUAAACGAUAGCUUAACCAACCUUCAGCCUUAAAACGUAGACAGUGUUUUAAAGUAACAGCCUUCAGGCUCAGCAGCUGGCUUCACCCCUAGAUCAUUUGGCCUUGCAUUUGGAUAAGACUCCUGAGCUCACAUCUUUCAAGAUGAGGAAGUAUCUCAACAUACUUUGCAACAGUCACCUGGCUCAGCUGCUUCAGGAGGACGGUGCCUGGGGGUUUUUACUCACAUAGUUUCUUAGUCAAGUUCCUGUGACCUAAUGUUCUUAUUUAUUUAAACAAGCCUUUCCCUCCCAUAAAAUUCUGCCUCAGGGUUUGUUUCUCCGAACCACUCAUACCACUUACCCAAAAAAGUCUUUUAGGAGGAGAAGUCAACUCACUUACGUUCUUUGUGAAGGUGAACUCCAUUUAGAAAUGAUCUGACUGUCGGGGCGCCUGGGUGGCGCAGUCGGUUAAGCGUCCGACUUCAGCCAGGUUACGAUCUCGCGGUCUGUGAGUUCGAGCCCCGCGUCAGGCUCUGGGCUGAUGGCUUGGAGCCUGGAGCCUGUUUCCGAUUCUGUGUCUCCCUCUCUCUCUGCCCCUCCCCUGUUCAUGCUCUGUCUCUCUCUGUCCCAAAAAUAAAUAAAAAACGUUGAAAAAAAAUUUAAAAAAAAAAAGAAAUGAUCUGACUGUUAAUGUUCGUCCUUGUUCACUGGGCUUGGCCCACACUUUCAAGUGCCAGGCAAGCGCUGGCCCCGGGGAGUUGUGUUUUGAUAUCUCCCGUGAUUUGCCAAAAAGGCCUCUCUUGACUUCAGUCUUCCUAUUUGUAAAACUGUUGUUGCAGUUCAUUGUCUGGGUACAAAUGUUAGAAUUCUUCGGAGAAGGAUGUUAUCUGAAGACAGGAAACUACUGUUCACGGAGAAUGUGAACAACAGGAAAAUUCCACCGGCCAUGGAUUUUACUUAAUGUUCUGUAAGCUGUUUGAAGUGGAAGCAUCCCAGUAAAAUGAAGAGACCUGUAGCAGAUCCAGCCAAGAAGAAGGGUAAAAUGGAAAUAUGCACAAUGAGGAAUACAAAAGGACGUAGGACCACAGAGUUAGGGAAACCAAUUUACGUGAGAUUAUGCUGUGUGGUUCUCGCUUCAUAAAAUGUAAAAAUCACAAUGAAAGACGGAAUUCAAUGUAAAUGACCAACACUGAGUCAAGAAGUAGACAGCCUCAGGUGUCCAAAUAGCAGAGAAGACGCAGAAAAUGUGGUGAAAAUAGUACAUCUAAAAAACAUGGCAGGCUUAGAUAUAAAGGCAAAUACUUUUGUGUAUUCCAAGAGGAGAUCAGCUGAGAAUUUACUGUAAACUGUUCCGUAGGAAAAGAUGGGAUGCUUCCUCAUGUCUUCUUUUGAAACAACAUAACCCUGGCAGAAAAGCCUGUUAAAAUGUGGGAGGAAAAAAAAUGCAAAUUGAUAUUUGUGCAGAUGCAAUACAAAUACAGCUGGAAAUAGAGAUCCAAAAUGAAAUAUUAGUGCAUUUCGUCAAACACUCCGUGUAAAGAACAAUACAAAAUGACUUCAGUUUUAUUCUCAAAAUAGAAGAGUAGUUAGGUAAUAGGAAAUUAACAGCAGAAUUCAUCUCAUCAAAAGGCCUCUCAGGGCGCCUCGGUGGCUCAGUUGGUUAAGUGACUGACUUUGGCUCAGGUCAUGAUCUUAUGGUUUGUGAGCUCAAGUGUCACAUCCACGGAGCCAGCUUGGGAUCCUCCGCCCCGCCUCCCCCGCCCUCUGCAUGCUCUGUCUCUCACGCUUCUCAAAAUAAAUAAACUUUUUUUAAAAUGUAAAAAAAAAAAAGUCUCAGAGAAAAACCAAACGAUCAUCUGGAUAGAUACUCAAAAGGCAUUGGAUUAAAAUUAACAUCCAUUCUUUUUUUUUAACGUUUAUUUAUUUUUGAGACAGAGAGCAUGAAUGGGGGAGGGUCAGAGAGAGAGGGAGACACAGAAUCUGAGACAGGCUCCAGGCUCUGAGCUGUCAGCACAGAGCCCGACACGGGGCUCAAUCCCACGGACCUCGAGAUCAUUACCUGAGCCGAAGUCUGCUGCUUAACCGACUGAGCCACCCAGGCGCCCCUUAACAUUCAUUCUUGAUCCAAACUCUUAGUAAACUAAGAAUGACAUAACGUCCUCAACUUGAUGCAGUGUAUCUUGGAAACAAGCAGACAGCAUCACACUUAAGGGCUAAAUGUCACAUAUCUCCACUCACCAGAAAUAAGAAGCGAAGUCCUGUAACACCACUGUUAGAGCAGAAUUCAGGAUUGCUCUAUCCAGCACGAGAAAGUGGGAGACAUGAUUUGGAGACCAAAUUGUUAUUGUUUGCUGAUUAUAUAAACUGGCUCACGGAAUCAACAAUGAGUAUUUUCAUGCCGGAAUUUCAUCGUAUCAUCUAGUUAACCCUUUUCUCUUGUUUUGAUAUAUACAUAAGGGGACUUCACAGGCCAAAGAAACCCACUGGCCUCUUUCACCAAAUUUACCACCACGCGGUAACACGUGAUAUUUCAGUUUCUGCAACGUUCAGUUCCCUCCCCCGCCCCAGACUUCCCCAUCUUUACACACAGAAAAGAAUUUAGUUUCAAAAUUAUUUCACUUGCCACAGAGAAGCUUAAACAGGUCAGCCCGAUUGCCUUUGUUUUGUCAGUAGUGUGCCCUCUUAGGUAGAAUGGGCCUCUGGGUGGGCUGUAGGAUGUCAUUCUGAAUUCUCCUGCAAGGCUCUUGCGGCUGCUUCCCGAAGAGGCAUUAGCGGGACCCUCCGAGUUCACCUCCCCGGCCAGUGUGAACUUCCAGCCCUGCCCCUGUUGUUGAUCUCACAAACCACCCUUUGUGCUCAGACCACAGAACUCUAGUUGCAAACAAGACUUUGGGGUGUGGUUGCACAAAGACGUUUUGCACUGAGCCCGUGUUUGCCUAAAGUUGGCUCUGAGUGAGCCUCCUUACCCUUAGGGACUGAGUUAACUCUUAGGGAAUCUCUAAACCCUGUGAUGCAAGAGAGCCCUGAACCUUCUCAGCUGGGUGAGAGAAUCACCUGCACUUAGUUGCGAUGGCAACAGCAUAGGAAAUAAAAUUCACGAAUAACACGAAUCGAAUUGGAAAAUAUAAUUAUCAUCACGGCUGAAUUAACCAUGAGGAUAUCCAUCAAGCAAUUUAGGAAUGAUUUCAGAAGCAUUGGUAGUUUUCUUCUUGCCAUGCUCAAAGUCUUUUCUUCAAACAUUCCUUCUGAUAAAAACAUCCUAUGAUAUCCUAGAAAAAAGGGGCUUGAAACUCUCUUGGGUUUAAAGAUGUCCACAGAUGUAAAAUAUUUUUGUUUCAAUGCCCAACGUAGAAUAAUACAGUCAAGUUUAGGGAAUGCAUUAGAAAGAGGGCAAAACUUCAAAAUAAAAUUUCGUGAAAUCAGCCCAUGACAAUUUGUGUCUGCAUUUUAAAAUAGAAAUACAGUAAAAACCUUGGUUCGUGAGCAUAAUUUGUUCCAGAAACACUAAUCCAAAGCACUUGUAUGUCAAAGCAAAUUUCAAGAACCAUUGGCUCAGUUGGGAUCACAUGACGUUCACCAUCACGUGCCACUCGUAUUGCAAGACAUCGUUUGUUUAUCAAGUUAAAAUUUAUCAGAAAUGUUUGCUCAUCUUGCAGAACUCGUAUUGCAAGACAUCACUCGUUCAUCAAGUUAAAAUUUAUUAGAAAUGUUUGCUCGUCUUGCAGAACUUGUAUUGCAAGACAUCACUCGUUCAUCAAGUUAAAAUUUAUCAGAAAUGUUUGCUCAUCUUGCAGAACACUUGCAGACCAAGUUACUUGCAACCCAAGGUUUCGGUGUAAUUUACUAUGCUAUGCUACCGAAAAUAGCCGAUGAAACUAGGAAGGCAUAACACAAAAGAUCAAGGGGAAGGGGUGCCUGGGUGGCUCAGUUGAGCAUCUGACUCUUGGUUUCAGCCCAGGUCAUGAUUUCACAGUUUGUGAGUUUGAGCCCUGCAUCGGGAUCUGCAUGGACAGUGUGGAUGGAGCCUGCUUGGCAUAUCUCUCUCCCUCUUUCUCCCUGCCCUUCCCUGGCUUGCUCUCUCUCCCUCUCUGUCAAAAUGGAAAUAAAUAAACAUUAAAAAAGAAAAACUUAAAAAAAAAGAUCAAGGGGAAAAUACGGCUUGCUAUUCCUGGAAAAGAAAGCUGAGCGGGAACGCAGUAAAAAAAAAAAAAAAAAUUCAAAUCAGGGGCAACCUAGUGCUACAUAGAUAUGGUACCAGUGCCACCUACUGUCGUGAGUAUAAAUUGCAGCUGUGCAAUAGUCAAUUCUCAGAAUUCUUUUAAAACCUGCCCUCUCAUGGCAGGAACAGGUGUUCUAUAUUGCUUUCACUAUUUCCACUUACCUAAAUCUUACUCUGUGUUAAGAAUUACCGUGCUAAGAGCUUUACAUUGAUCUUCUUUACAUCGAUUUGUCACGACAGCUCUUAUCAGGCAGGUGGUAUUUUUAUCCCCAUUACGUAGAUGAACAGAAACAGGGCUCGAGAGUCACUAAAGAGCUUACCCAAGGUCAUAUAGGUGGCAAGUGGCAGAGCCGAGGGUAGAACUUGGGCUCUCUGAUCAGAAACCAACCUCAAGGCUGCUCUUCUGCCUUUGGAGGCUACGUUGCUGUGUCUUGAGAUCUCCCUUGUCGGGGGGUCUUACAGAAUAUGUUUCUAUCACUUCAGCCUCAGUUUAUCAUCGUCGGAAAAACUCACGCAGAGGAAUGAAUAUGCUAUCAUGAUAAAUAAUAUAUUUAUUAUAAAACAUUAUCAAACAUUAGGGCAAAGAAGAGGGUCUGCAGAGGGUUUGCGUGGCCUUUCCUAUUUUAUUCAUAAAGUAUUUUUAUGUUUAUUAUUUUUAUUUUGGGGGGGAUACAAGUGGAGGAGGAGCAGGGAGAGAGAAAGAGAGAGAGAGGGAGGGAGAGGGAGGGAGAGAGAGGGAGAGAGUAGAGAGAAAGAGAGAAUCUUGAGCAGGCUCCAUAGCCAGUGCAGAGCCCCGCAUGGGGCUUGAUCUCACAACUGUGAGAUCGCGACCUGAGCCAAAAUCAAGAGUCGGUCAUCCAGCCGACUGAGCUACCCACGCACCCUGGUCUUUCCUAUUUUAAGAAAAAAAUGUGAAUCAAGUUUCAGGCCUUUAUGUGCCUUUGUGCUAAUUUGCAUGCCUGAAAAUAUUUGCAUAUUUUCAGAUUACCACAAUUUGAAAAUAGGAAAUCCGAAAAUAGGAAGAUAAAUCAGAUUUUCCCUGAAAGUCACCCCCUCUGAGGCUAAGGAUUCCACAGCCAUUGUAGUUCUACAGGGGGACAAGAAUGGCUUAUUGGUCCUUAUUUUGCAUAGAAGGCUGUUAUCAGACCUUCAUUGGCUGUUGUAUGCAGAUGCUAAACGCUCCUCGCACUGUGUUCUAAUGAAUCCCAGGGUUUGUGCUAAGUGUAACGCAUUUUGGGUCCAAGCUUUGAAAACAUAAAACCGGGGCUGGAGCAAGAAGAAAAGUAUAGAAUAGAUGGAGUUCACUAGGGCAGAGGGGAAAAGUAGAGGGAGCCAGCAAAUCUAAUCUGGAGGAAGAGACAAAAUCAGGAGGGUGGACCCAGGUUCCAGUUCCAGGGAAAAGCAGAAGUUGGAGAGCCAGUCCCAGCUCACACCCAUGAGCCACACAAACAGCCCGAGUGUCGUGGAGUCAAGAUCAGUUGGAGGCCCGUGAUGGGAAACUCAUGACUGUGUGUUCUUAGGAGACCGUCUUCGAAAUCAAGAGUCAACACCAGAUACCAUUAGAGUCCAAUCAAUUCAACUGUAAAAAUAUUUAUGUGGUACCUUUGGCGUGAAAAGCACUCUGCCUUCAUGCACCUCCUCUCCUUGUCUUCUCUGUAGAUUUGCACCGGCAGCAUUUAAUGCAAUCCAGCUGCAAAGACUUAAAAACCUCAGUGGCUGAGUUCCAGUCUGAUUCAGCAUGGUGCACCGCAAAGCUAUGGCUUAGUUGCCUAGUUACGGCCUCGACUGGCACCUCUGAACUGUGCAGUGAUUCCUGGGUCAGCAUCCUACUUCUCGCCUGGAGAAACCUACUUCGUACAGUAUUACUUGCAAAUUUUUUUCUCUUUUUGGAAAUUGUGGUUAAAACAACACCUAACAUUAA